rnacentral:misc_RNA from 1 species
GGCAUACUGAAAAUACAAAUGAGAAGAAGAUGACCCUUGUUCGGGAGAAGUUCAUGGAAGCAAAGCGUUUGGCCACAGAUGAGAAAGGCCGCCAGUCCAAGGAAUUCCAAGAUGAGAAAUUUUAAGUUCCAAUAGAGAUCUAUUCCUCAAGUUUCUGCAAGAACCUAAUUCCAUGUUCUCUCCGCAUCUGUAUGAUAUGUGCUCUAUUCCUCCGCCUCCUGAGACAAAACGCAUUACUGUACUUAGACCUUCUAAGGCGAUUGAUAAUGAAAAGUUUGCUGGAUCAGGAACGAAGUGUGAUAAGCAGGCAAAUAAACCAGCCCAUACUGGCCAAGCUAUCGUGUGGGACAAAAAUAACUCUGGAUGUUCUCCUACUUUUGCCAAUCA